CAGCCGCCGCGGUAAUACGGAGGGUGCAAGCGUUAAUCGGAAUUACUGGGCGUAAAGCGCACGCAGGCGGUCUGUCAAGUCAGAUGUGAAAUCCCCGGGCUUACCUGGGAACUGCAUUUGAAACUGGCAGGCUAGAGUCUUGUAGAGGGGGGUAGAAUUCCAGGUGUAGCGGUGAAAUGCGUAGAGAUCUGGAGGAAUACCGGUGGCGAAGGCGGCCCCCUGGACAAAGACUGACGCUCAGGUGCGAAAGCGUGGGGAGCAAACAGGAUUAGAUACCCGCGUAGUCCCUGUCUCUUAUACA
rnacentral:rRNA from 1 species